AUUGAACGCUGGCGGCAUGCUUUACACAUGCAAGUCGAGCGGCAGCGCGGGGGCAACCCUGGCGGCGAGCGGCGGUCGGGUGAGUAAUGCAUCGGAACGUAUCCCGUAGUGGGGGACAACCCAGCGAAAGCUGGGCUAAUACCGCAUAUGCUCUACGGAGGAAAGUGGGGGACCCGCAAGGGCCUCACGCUAUGGGAGCGGCCGAUGUCCGAUUAGCUAGUUGGUGGGUAAAGGCCUACCAAGGCGACGAUCGGUAGCUGGUCUGAGAGGAUGAUCAGCCACACUGGGACUGAGACACGGCCCAGACUCCUACGGGAGGCAGCAGUGGGGAAUUUUGGACAAUGGGGGCAACCCUGAUCCAGCCAUGCCGCGU
rnacentral:rRNA from 1 species